CCCGCACCUCGCCUUCCGCCUCUGCUUCCGCAACACCGAUGGCGACGGCGACGGCGACGAGGAGUGCCAGGAGAGCUACAAGAGCAGCGCGACGGUGGAGGGUCUGGAGCCGGGCAGCGAGUACGAGGUGCGCGUGCAGGCGGUGGCGGCGGGGGGCGGGCCGCGCGGCGCCUUCAGCGAGCCCGUGCGCGUCGCCACGCAGCCUGAAGUGUCGUCGUCAGGUCCGUGGCCGGUGGGCGAGCUGUCGUACGCGUACGUGAACGUGUCGGCGGUGCGCGUGCGGUGGCGCGGUGCAGCUCAG